GUCAAAGAGGGUAAAAACCCCGUAGAUGAAAUUUGGAAGGCACCUAGGAGGAUCCUGAGUACGGCGGAACACGAGGAAUUCCGUCGGAAUCCGGGAGGACCAUCUCCCAAGGCUAAAUACUCCCUAGUGACCGAUAGUGAACCAGUACCGUGAGGGAAAGGUGAAAAGCACCCCGGAAGGGGAGUGAAAUAGAACCUGAAACCGUGUGCCUACAACAAGUCAAAGCCCGUUAAUGGGUGAUGGCGUGCCUUUUGUAGAAUGAACCGGCGAGUUACGAUUGCAUGCGAGGUUAAGUUGAAGAGACGGAGCCGCAGCGAAAGCGAGUCUGAAUAGGGCGUUUGAGUAUGUAGUCGUAGACCCGAAACCAUGUGAUCUACCCAUGUCCAGGUUGAAGGUGCGGUAAAACGCACUGGAGGACCGAACCCACGUACGUUGAAAAGUGCGGGGAUGAGGUGUGGGUAGCGGAGAAAUUCCAAACGAACUUGGAGAUAGCUGGUUCUCUCCGAAAUAGCUUUAGGGCUAGCCUCGGAAUUGAGAAUGAUGGAGGUAGAGCACUGUUUGGACUAGGGGCCCAUCUCGGGUUACCGAAUUCAGAUAAACUCCGAAUGCCAUUCAUUCAUAUCCGGGAGUCAGACUGUGAGUGAUAAGAUCCAUAGUCGAAAGGGAAACAGCCCAGACCACCAGCUAAGGUCCCAAAAUAUAUGUUAAGUGGAAAAGGAUGUGGGGUUGCACAGACAACUAGGAUGUUGGCUUAGAAGCAGCCACCAUUUAAAGAGUGCGUAAUAGCUCACUAGUCGAGUGACCCUGCGCCGAAAAUGUACCGGGGCUAAACAUAUUACCGAAGCUGUGGAGUACACCUUUAGGUGUAUUGGUAGGAGAGCGUUCUAAGGGCGUUGAAGGCAGAUCGUGAGGACUGCUGGAGCGCUUAGAAGUGAGAAUGCCGGUAUGAGUAGCGAAAGACAGGUGAGAAUCCUGUCCACCGAAUGACUAAGGUUUCCUGGGGAAGGCUCGUCCGCCCAGGGUUAGUCGGGACCUAAGCCGAGGCCGACAGGCGUAGGCGAUGGACAACAGGUUGAUAUUCCUGUACUCGUUGUUUUUGUUUGAGCAAUGGAGGGACGCAGGAGGCUAAGGAAUGCAGACGAUUGGAAAUGUCUGUCUAAGCAGUAAGUCU
rnacentral:rRNA from 1 species